rnacentral:piRNA from 1 species
CAGAGCGUCUGACACACGUACAC